rnacentral:lncRNA from 1 species
UGAAAAGGUGGUGUUGACAACACAUGAUUGACAUUGAUGGUGGUGCUACUCAAGCACCCAAUCUUGAACUCUAGGGUGUAAGCCUAAGUUAGACCCAAGUGGUUAUACCUGACAAUGACGAUAUUUUUGUUGCAUCAUUACCUUGUUGAAGGUACUGUUCGUAUAUGUUCGGACAGGUUCUUCAGGAUAAAAACUAAAUUCUAGCUUUGUUGGUUGGAUACAGUGAUGGCGACAUUUGAGUGUCGCGCCCCUUCUGAAGGCGUUGUUGUUGGAAAACAUCAUUAUCCAUGUAGUCUCAUUAGAUGGUUGGCGCGGAUAUGAUCAUUAUUGAAGUUUGUCGAUUGCAGAUCUGAUUGCUUUGAGGCUUCUUCCGUCUCCUACGUAUAACUUUGGUCUUAUAUGAUUUUGCUAAUUUUCGUCGUGUUUUCGUGUGUGCGUAUGUUAGUGUUCGUUGUGUGCAUCUUAGCUAUGCGAAAAAAAAUAUGUGUGCUUAUUGCGUUACCUAUCUUCUUGAUGCUCAAUUUUGCGCAUACAAAAUCCACCCUGUAUCGAAUAAGAAGAUUUCACUUCACAUGAUAUAACUCUGAAAUGGCAUAUUCAAUAAGUCACUUUCUGAAGAGUGCUUUGAAUGAUUUCCCAAAACUGGAACUGCUAUGCCUAGAUUAUGAACAUUUUCUACUUGAGGUUUCAGGUGCCCGAUUCUUCGAUAUUGAUACACAG